AUUUAUUUAACGUACUUCCUGCAUAAAGAGGAAGUACAUAACAGCGAAGAAAGAUGCUGAAACUCCAACUGUUUCAUCAUUGACGCACAAACAAGAAAAGCCAAUUUGUUGCGGUCAAGUUCAUCGUUGCGGUCUAACGAGUUCAAUCAAAGCCCUCAGGUAAAAUAGGGUCGAGGAGAACGUCAACACAAGAUCCUUUGUGUGUAUUUGAAACGCUCUCCAAUCACCGUGUUAUAUCAUUACCAAGUCAACUACUGUACUGUAAAAUUUUUACAAAAGCUGUGAUCUUCUUGGACACAACAUCGUUUAAAUGAUUGCACCAUGUUAAAGAAGUUUGCAUGCAAGAAACAAAAUGUAUUUUAAUCUUUCUCUUUCAAAGUAUACUAGUCUAAAACUACAUAUGACGUCACCAAAGAUAACUUAAAUCAGUUGCUUGAAAUUGGAUUGAAGUAUAAACGCAGCAUUGCAAUAAAAGCAGCAUUGAUAAUACCAACAGUAAAUAGUAAUUGAAAUAUUGACUACAUAAAAUAGCUGUUCUGCUCCCAACUCAAUCUGGAGAAGCCAGGUCAUAUUUUACUAAUAAAAUGCAACUAUUUGUGUCCAUUCGUAGGAAAAGCGACGAAUGGAAUAAAUUUUUCAAA